GUCUCACGGAUGGCGCAGUGGUUAACGCACCUGCCUGAUAAGCAGGAGAUCCCGGGUUCGAAUCACGGUCUGGUGCACA